ACCAGUUGAAUUUACUUAAUUUCUGUUCAUAUUGCAUCAAGUAGGAGAUUAAGACGUGGAAAUAAGAAAGUAGCUUUACGAAAUCCGUAAAAGACGGAAACAAAUGAUCGCCAGGAGUCGAACAACUGCCCAUGAUGGCACGAGCAGCUGCUGCAGGCUGCUGCUGCUCCUGGCAGCCGCGGCAACCGCAGCUUCUGCAGGCGCAGAUGUGUGCGGCUCUGAUCAGUUCAAGUGCGCCGACACCGGCCGCUGCAUAGACGAGACGCGGCGGUGCGACGGAAUCAAG
rnacentral:lncRNA from 1 species